UACAGAGGGGGCAAGCGUUAUUCGGAAUUACUGGGCGUAAAGCGUGCGCAGGCGGUUUUGUAAGCCCGAUGUGAAAUCCCCGGGCUUAACCUGGGAAUGGCAUUUGGGACUGCAAGGCUUGAGUGCGGCAGAGGAGACUGGAAUUCCUGGUGUAGCAGUGAAAUGCGUAGAUAUCAGGAGGAACACCGAUGGCGAAGGCAGGUCUCUGGGCUGACACUGACGCUCAUGCACGAAAGCGUGGGGAGCAAACAGG
rnacentral:rRNA from 1 species